AUUGAACGCUGGCGGCAUGCCUUACACAUGCAAGUCGAACGGUAACAGGUCUUCGGAUGCUGACGAGUAGCGAACGGGUGAGUAAUACAUCGGAACGUGCCUAGUAGUGGGGGAUAACUACUCGAAAGAGUGGCUAAUACCGCAUGAGAUCUACGGAUGAAAGCAGGGGAUCGCAAGACCUUGUGCUACUAGAGCGGCCGAUGGCAGAUGAGGUAGUUGGUGGGAUAAAAGCUUACCAAGCCGACGAUCUGUAGCUGGUCUGAGAGGACGAUCAGCCACACUGGGACUGAGACACGGCCCAGACUCCUACGGGAGGCAGCAGUGGGGAAUUUUGGACAAUGGGCGAAGGCCUGAUCCAGCAAUGCCGCGUGCAGGAUGAAGGCCUUCGGGUUGUAAACUGCUUUUGUACGGAACGAAAAGCCCCGGGUUAAUACCCUGGGGUCAUGACGGUACCGUAAGAAUAAGCACCGGCUAACUACGUGCCAGCCGCCGCAGUAA
rnacentral:rRNA from 1 species